rnacentral:rRNA from 1 species
UUUCUUGAUUAUAUCACCCUGCAGCCCAAGACUGGUUGCCCACUGAAACUAAGCAGGUUUGAGCCUGGUCAGUACCUGGAUGGGAGACCUCGUGGGAAAACUAGGUUGCUGUUGGAA